rnacentral:rRNA from 1 species
AGAGUUUGAUCAUGGCUCAGGAUGAACGCCGGCGGUGUGCUUAAUACAUGCAAGUCGUACGCACUGGCCCAACUGAUUAAUGGUGCUUGCACCUGAUUGACGAUGGAUCACCAGUGAGUGGCGGACGGGUGAGUAACACGUAGGUAACCUGCCCCGGAGCGGGGGAUAACAUUUGGAAACAGAUGCUAAUACCGCAUAACAAUAAAAGCCACAUGGCUUUUGUUUGAAAGAUGGCUUCGGCUAUCACUCUGGGAUGGACCUGCGGUGCAUUAGCUAGUUGGUAAGGUAACGGCUUACCAAGGCGAUGAUGCAUAGCCGAGUUGAGAGACUGAUCGGCCACAAUGGAACUGAGACACGGUCCAUACUCCUACGGGAGGCAGCAGUAGGGAAUCUUCCACAAUGGGCGCAAGCCUGAUGGAGCAACACCGCGUGAGUGAAGAAGGGUUUCGGCUCGUAAAGCUCUGUUGUUGGAGAAGAACGUGCGUGAGAGUAACUGUUCACGCAGUGACGGUAUCCAACCAGAAAGUCACGGCUAACUACGUGCCAGCAGCCGCGGUAAUACGUAGGUGGCAAGCGUUAUCCGGAUUUAUUGGGCGUAAAGCGAGCGCAGGCGGUUGCUUAGGUCUGAUGUGAAAGCCUUCGGCUUAACCGAAGAAGUGCAUCGGAAACCGGGCAACUUGAGUGCAGAAGAGGACAGUGGAACUCCAUGUGUAGCGGUGGAAUGCGUAGAUAUAUGGAAGAACACCAGUGGCGAAGGCGGCUGUCUGGUCUGCAACUGACGCUGAGGCUCGAAAGCAUGGGUAGCGAACAGGAUUAGAUACCCUGGUAGUCCAUGCCGUAAACGAUGAGUGCUAGGUGUUGGAGGGUUUCCGCCCUUCAGUGCCGGAGCU